CGAACGCUGGCGGCGUGCCUAAUACAUGCAAGUAGAACGCUGAAGAGAGGAGCUUGCUCUUCUUGGAUGAGUUGCGAACGGGUGAGUAACGCGUAGGUAACCUGCCUUGUAGCGGGGGAUAACUAUUGGAAACGAUAGCUAAUACCGCAUAACAAUGGAUGACUCAUGUCAUUUAUUUGAAAGGGGCAAAUGCUCCACUACAAGAUGGACCUGCGUUGUAUUAGCUAGUAGGUGAGGUAACGGCUCACCUAGGCGACGAUACAUAGCCGACCUGAGAGGGUGAUCGGCCACACUGGGACUGAGACACGGCCCAGACUCCUACGGGAGGCAGCAGUAGGGAAUCUUCGGCAAUGGGGGCAACCCUGACCGAGCAACGCCGCGUGAGUGAAGAAGGUUUUCGGAUCGUAAAGCUCUGUUGUAAGUCAAGAACGAGUGUGAGAGUGGAAAGUUCACACUGUGACGGUAGCUUACCAGAAAGGGACGGCUAACUACGUGCCAGCAGCCGCGGUAAUACGUAGGUCCCGAGCGUUGUCCGGAUUUAUUGGGCGUAAAGCGAGCGCAGGCGGUUUGAUAAGUCUGAAGUUAAAGGCUGUGGCUCAACCAUAGUUCGCUUUGGAAACUGUCAAACUUGAGUGCAGAAGGGGAGAGUGGAAUUCCAUGUGUAGCGGUGAAAUGCGUAGAUAUAUGGAGGAACACCGGUGGCGAAAGCGGCUCUCUGGUCUGUAACUGACGCUGAGGCUCGAAAGCGUGGGGAGCGAACAGGAUUAGAUACCCUGGUAGUCCACGCCGUAAACGAUGAGUGCUAGGUGUUGGAUCCUUUCCGGGAUUCAGUGCCGCAGCUAACGCAUUAAGCACUCCGCCUGGGGAGUACGACCGCAA
rnacentral:rRNA from 1 species